UACGUAGGGGGCAAGCGUUGUCCGGAUUUAUUGGGCGUAAAGAGCGUGUAGGCGGCUUGACAGGUCUGCUGUGAAAACUCGGAGGCUCAACCUCGAGAUGUCGGCGGAAACCGGUCUGGCUAGAGUCCGGGAGAGGUGAGUGGAACUGCGGAGUGUAGAGGUGAAAUUCGUAGAUAAUUCGCAAGAACACCAGUGGCGAAGGCGGCUCACUGGCCCGGUACUGACCGCUGAGGUGCGAAAGCGUGGGGGAGCAAACAGG
rnacentral:rRNA from 1 species